AGUCACUGACAUUAGAUACCCGUGUAGUCCCAGCCCUAAACGAUGCGCGUUAGGUGUAUCGGUGACCACGAGUCACCGAGGUGCCGAAGGGAAACCGUGAAACGUGCCGCCUGGGAAGUACGGUCGCAAGGCUGAAACUUAAAGGAAUUGGCGGGGGAGCACCGCAACGGGAGGAGCGUGCGGUUCAAUUGGAUUCAACGCCGGACAACUCACCAGGAGCGACGGUUACAUGAAGGCCAGGCUGAUGACCUUGCCUGAUUUUCCG
rnacentral:rRNA from 1 species